rnacentral:rRNA from 1 species
GAUGAACGCUAGCUACAGGCUUAACACAUGCAAGUCGAGUGGCAGCAUGAACUUAGCUUGCUAAGUUUGAUGGCGACCGGCGCACGGGUGAGUAACACGUAUCCAACCUGCCGAUGACUCGGGGAUAGCCUUUCGAAAGAAAGAUUAAUACCCGAUGGCAUAGUUCUUCCGCAUGGUAGAACUAUUAAAGAAUUUCGGUCAUCGAUGGGGAUGCGUUCCAUUAGGUUGUUGGCGGGGUAACGGCCCACCAAGCCUUCGAUGGAUAGGGGUUCUGAGAGGAAGGUCCCCCACAUUGGAACUGGGACACGGUCCAAACUCCUACGGGAGGCAGCAGUGAGGAAUAUUGGUCAAUGGACGAGAGUCUGAACCAGCCAAGUAGCGUGAAGGAUGACUGCCCUAUGGGUUGUAAACUUCUUUUAUACGGGAAUAAAGUGAGGCACGUGUGCCUUUUUGUAUGUACCGUAUGAAUAAGGAUCGGCUAACUCCGUG